CCCUGCAUUCGGAAGUGAUCAGUGAUCCUGGUUGCCUGUGCCCUGGUCAUUGAUAGUGCAGGGAGAGCAGCUGCUGAAAGCACUUCCCCGUGUUUGGAGGGUCCGCUGCCAUCCCUGCCCAACCCGGGAGCUUUCCCACA